AAGCGGCAGCAGCCCAAAUUUGAAAUCUGGCCCCUCGGGCCCGAGUUGUAAUUUGGAGAGGAUGCCUCGGCGUGUGGCCCCGGUCGAAGUGCCUUUGAACGGGCCGUCAGAGAGGGUGAGAACCCCGUCCGCGGUCGCGGGCCGCCGCCGUGUGAGGCUCCUUCGACGAGUCGAGUUGUUUGGGAAUGCAGCUCUAAACGGGAGGUAAAUUCCUUCCAAGGCUAAAUAUCCGCCAGAGACCGAUAGCGCACAAGUAGAGUGAUCGAAAGGUGAAAAGCACUUUGAAAAGAGGGUGAAACAGCACGUGAAAUUGUUGAAAGGGAAGCGCUUGCAACCAGAGUCGUCCGCGGGGGCUCCGCCGGCCUUCGGGCCCGGUGCACUCCUCCGCGGUCGGGCCAGCAUCAGCUCGGCCGGUCGGAUAAAGGCCGUGGGAAUGUGACACCCCCGGGUGUGUUAUAGCCCGCGGGACAAUACGGCCCGCCUGGGCUGAGGUCAACGCCUUUAUGGCACGGAUGCUGGGCGUAAUGGUUGUCACCGGCCCGUCUUGAAACACGGACCAAGGAGCUAACAUCUAUGCGAAUGUUCGGGUGCCAACCCGGGACGGAAUGAAAAGGAACGGAAGUGGGAACCCUCCGGCGCACAUCCUACCGAUCUUAAGGACUCCGGAUGGAUUUAAGGAUGAACCUAUCUUGUUGUAACCAGG
rnacentral:misc_RNA from 1 species